UACGAAGGGGGCUAGCGUUGCUCGGAAUCACUGGGCGUAAAGGGCGCGUAGGCGGCCAUUCAAGUCGGGGGUGAAAGCCUGUGGCUCAACCACAGAAUUGCCUUCGAUACUGUUUGGCUUGAGUAUGGCAGAGGUCAGUGGAACUGCGAGUGUAGAGGUGAAAUUCGUAGAUAUUCGCAAGAACACCAGUGGCGAAGGCGGCUGACUGGGCCAUUACUGAACGCUGAGGCGGCGAAAGCGUGGGGGGCAAACAGG
rnacentral:rRNA from 1 species